CGGAGGCAGAGAGGAAGCGACGCUGACUCCUACUCGUUCCCCCCCGGAGUCCGAGGAGGAGCAGCCUGUCUGUGUCUGCAGGAACAAACUCCUCCUGCUUCUCGGGAAGCCUCUCUCAGUCCUCCGGAGGAAGAAGAGAAGGGAGUAAAAGUCAUGGACAAAGGAGGAGAAUUAAAAAUAAGUUUGCAUCAACUCUAGUACAGUCACCCUUUGGGAAAGAAAACCAACUCGGACUCCUCGAGAAGAAAGUGGAACGAGGAACAGGAUGGGGAUGCAUUUCAGCACCCUGCGGACCCUCAUCAGCAGAUAUUGUACUGGUGAGGAGAACUGGGUGGACAGCAGGACGAUAUACAUCGGACACAAGGAGCCUCCUUCGGGAACGGAGGCCUUCAUACAGCAAAGAUUCCCCGACAACCGAAUAGUCUCCUCCAAGUACACAUUUUGGAACUUCGUCCCGAAGAAUAUGUUCGAGCAGUUCAGGAGAGUCGCCAACUUCUACUUUCUCAUCAUAUUUCUGGUUCAGUUGAUCAUCGACACGCCCACCAGUCCCAUCACCAGCGGGCUGCCGCUCUUCUUCGUCAUCACGGUCACCGCCAUCAAACAGGGUUACGAGGAUUGGUUGAGACACAAAGCGGACAACUCUGUCAACCAGUGUCCCGUCCACGUGGUGCAUCACGGGAAAGUAGUCCGCAAGCAGAGUCAGAAGCUCCGGGUCGGAGACGUCGUCUUCAUGAAGGAAAACGAGACUUUCCCCUGCGACCUCAUCCUUCUGUCUUCAUCUCGAGAAGACGGCACCUGCUUCGUCACUACAGCCAGUCUGGACGGAGAGAGCAGCCACAAGACGUACCACGCGAUCCAGGACACUAAAGCUUACACCACUGAGGUGGAGGUGGACUCCAUCCACGCGACGAUAGAAUGUGAACAACCGCAGCCGGACCUGUACAAAUUUGUGGGCCGUAUCAACGUCUACAUGGACAACGAGCCGGUGGCCAGGCCGUUGGGAUCAGAGAACCUGCUGCUCAGAGGGGCCACGCUCAAGAACACCGAUUACAUCUAUGCGGUUGCCAUCUACACCGGUAUGGAAACCAAGAUGGCGCUCAACUACCAGACCAAGACCCAGAAACGGUCUGCAGUGGAAAAGUCGAUGAACGCCUAUCUGGUGGUCUACCUGUGCAUCCUCAUCAGCAAGGCGCUCAUCAACACGGUGCUGAAGUACGCGUGGCAGGCCGACACCAACCAAGACGAGCCGUGGUACAGCGACAGGACGGAGCCGGAGAGGCAGAGACACGUCGUGGUCCGGGCCUUCACAGACUUCCUGGCCUUCAUGGUGCUGUUCAACUACAUCAUCCCGGUCUCCAUGUACGUCACCGUGGAGAUGCAGAAGUUCCUGGGCUCCUAUUUCAUCAUGUGGGACGACGAGAUGUUCGACGAGGAGAUGGGCGAGCGGGCCGUGGUCAACACGUCGGACCUGAACGAGGAGCUGGGGCAGGUGGAGUACGUGUUCACGGACAAGACGGGGACUCUGACGGAGAACAACAUGGAGUUCAUCGAGUGCUGCGUGGACGGACACAUCUACGUACCUGAUGUGAUCUGUAACGGGCAGGUGAUGCCUGGUGCAACAAGUAUGGACAUGAUUGACACAUCGCCAGGUCCUGGGGCCAGGGAGCACGAGGAGCUGUUUUUCCGGGCGCUGUGUCUGUGCCACACGGUGCAGGUGAAGGAGGAGGAGACGGUGGACGGGAUCAAGCACGGCAUCCACCAGGGCAAGUCCACCUCCUUCUACAUCUCCUCCUCUCCGGACGAGGUGGCGCUGGUGGAGGGCAUGAAGAGACUCGGCUUCACUUAUCUCCGACUGAAAGACAGUCACAUGGAGAUCUUGAACAGGGAGGAUGAGAUUGAGAGGUUUCAGCUGCUGGAGGUUUUGACGUUUGACUCCGUCAGACGGAGGAUGAGCGUCAUCGUCAGGUCCAGCACAGGUGAGCUCUAUCUGUUCUGUAAAGGUGCGGACUCCGCCAUCUUCCCCAGGGUCGUAUCGGGCAAGGUGGAGCAGAUCAAAGCUCGGGUGGAGCACAACGCAGUGGAGGGUCUGAGGACACUCUGCGUCGCCUAUCGGCCUCUGAGUCCCGCGCAGUACCAGGAGGUUUGCCACCUGCUGAACGGGGCCAAGCUGGCCCUGCACGACCGAGACAAGCGACUGGCCGAGGCGUACGACGUCAUCGAGAAAGACCUCAUCCUGCUGGGAGCCACCGCCGUGGAGGACAGGUGGAGGAUCUCUGCUUCAGUCUGUUCUAACGGCACGCCAUCACGCCGACGCUCUCUCUCUCUCUCUCUCUGUGUGUGUUUCCCCAGGCUCCAGGAGAAAGCGGCAGACACCAUCGAGUCCCUCCACAAGGCGGGCAUGAAGGUGUGGGUGCUGACCGGCGAUAAGAUGGAGACGGCGGUCGCCACGUGCUACGCCAGCAAGCUGUUUCACCGCAACACGCAGAUCCUGGAGCUGACCACCAAGCGCACCGAGGAGCAGAGCCUCCACGACGUCCUGUUUGACCUGAGCAGGGCGGUGCUGAGGCAGCUCGGAGGCAUGACCCGGGACUCCUUCUCUGGUUUGUCGGGCGACUGCACCGACUACGGUCUGAUCAUCGACGGAGCCACCCUCUCCGCCGUGAUGAGGCCCGCCCAGGAGGACUCCAACUCGGGGAACUACAAAGAGAUCUUCCUGGAAAUCUGCCGCAACUGCAGCGCCGUGCUCUGCUGUCGGAUGGCGCCGCUGCAGAAAGCCCAGAUCGUGAAGCUGAUCAAAGCCUCCAAGGAGCACCCGAUCACGCUGGCCAUCGGAGACGGAGCGAACGACGUCAGCAUGAUCCUGGAGGCCCACGUCGGCAUCGGCAUCAUGGGUAAGGAGGGUCGUCAGGCAGCGAGGAACAGCGACUAUGCCAUCCCCAAGUUCAAACACCUCAAGAAGAUGCUCCUCGUCCACGGACACUAUUACUACAUCCGCAUCUCUGAACUCGUGCAAUACUUCUUCUACAAGAACGUCUGUUUCAUCUUCCCCCAGUUCCUCUACCAGUUCUUCUGUGGCUUCUCACAACAGCCGCUGUACGACACGGCCUACUUGACCCUGUACAACAUCAGCUUCACCUCGCUGCCCAUCCUGCUCCACAGCCUCAUCGAGCAGCACAUCCACAUGGACAUCCUGAGGAAGGACCCGUCUCUCUACAGAGACAUCGCGAAGAACUCGUUGCUGCGCUGGCCCAUCUUCAUAUACUGGACCGUCCUGGGUGUGUACGACGCCAUUGUGAUGUUCUUCGGGGUCUACUUCCUGUUUGACAACACCACCUUCACCAGCAACGGACAGCUAAUGACAGCCAACACACAGAUGAUGUUUGGCAACUGGACGUUUGGGACGCUGGUCUUCACCGUGCUGGUCUUCACCGUAACCUUCAAGUUGGCUCUAGAUACUCAUUACUGGACCUGGAUCAACCAUUUUGUCAUCUGGGGCUCACUGGUGUUCUUUCUGGUCUUCUCUUUGCUGUGGGGAGGAAUCAUCUGGCCCUUCCUCAACUACCAGAGGAUGUACUACGUGUUCAUGCAGAUGUUGUCCAGCGGUCCGGCGUGGCUCAGCAUCAUCCUUCUGAUAGCAGCCAGUCUGCUGCCGGAUGUGUUGAAGAAGGUCGUCUGCAGGACGCUGUGGCCCACGACGACUGAGCGCAUACAGAUGUACGCUGGCUUUGGCUACGUCCCUACUCUGAUGGAUAACGCUGAUAAACUCUACAAGGGCCAGCUGUCAGAGUUCACCCCCAUGGCGUCCCUCCACGCCCCGUCCAAGGCCGGCAGGCCCCGGCGAGGCUCGGGCAGCCAAAGGAACGCCCCAAACCCUCGAAGGUCUGCACCCUUUCACAAGAAACUCAUGUUCACGCGCUGGCGAAGAACGCCAGACUACCGCACCUUCGCCCCCCUCCUCGGAUUCGCCGACGGCUCCCGCCACUCGACGCAGGGGCGCGCCUACGGCGGGACGGGGCCGGGGACCUCAGUCUAGUUUAUUUCUGUUUUUUUUCUCUAUUCUCAUACUCUGAUAUCGGAUACAAUAGCAUCCGUUCGGAGUUGAACUCGACAAAGGAGCAAUAGAACUAAUCGGCCCAGAAGCUAAAGAGUACAAAAAGUGACAAUAAUAACUAAUUUAUUUAUGUUCCUGGAGUCGAGUUACGGACUAUGAUGCGAAUAGCAGGUAAUCCAUCUCUAAGUGGGUCACAAUGAAAGUGACCUUCACAACUGCUCCCACGUCAGCAGCGGAGUAUGGCACAAAGCAUUCUGGGACGGCUCCGGGAUGGACUCCAACAGCAUACCGUUGUCACAAGAAAACAGACUCAAGAGCUUUGAUUUCUGAAAUCACUGAAAUAUGUGUAUAUGUGCACUGGCCCUUUAAGGCUGCCUGCCUGAUAGCUGGCAGCUGAAGUGUACUUUACUCCAAUUUAACACACUUCUAUGACAAUUCCGAUGUUUUGUGAUUGUGCUGCUGACGGUAACAGUGCUUUAGCCAGCUCCAGCUUUCUCUGAUCGAACAUGUCAUUCUCUCCAUCCCUUCCAUCUCUAUCUUUCUCGUUCUGCCUCUUUCCAGGACCAACUGGUGUUGCCUGUGUGCAAACACGUGUUCCCGGAACACUCCCUAGGACUCUCUACAACAUUCUGUCUCUCUCUCGCUCGCUCUCCAUCUCUCUCUCUCUCUCAUUCUCCCUGUGGGGAAGUGAUGCUGAUGUGGGAGUUCUCCUACCUCUGUGAGAGCCGCCUCCACCCGCCCGGCCAUCAAGUCUGCAUCUUCUCGUCCAUCCAUCCAUCCAUCCGUCAGUCCUCCGAACGAGGGAAAUUGUGCCGAAACUUUAUUCCAUCUGUCGUCCCGUCUCAUCACUCCUCUGUCACUCUCAUCACUGUCCCGACGCACGAUGGAAUCAACCGGCACACAAAACAAGACAGUCUGAGGCUUACAGACUUCUAGUUGGCUGAAAGCUUAAGGGGCUCACCUGGAGGACACGAGAACAUUAUCCCACACUGGCUUCUCUGUUCACUCGAGGCCACCGCUCGAUUCUCCAUUCCACACGGCCGCUUGUGCUUUCAGAGGCCGCAUAUUUUUGAGAAUGAGACAUUUCAUUCCGAGUCUCACUUCGCAGAUCGAAUGGACACGAUGUUAUACAAACGGUACCCAGAAAUCUCAAACGCUAUCUCGUCUCUGACCGGGAAUACGCAAGACUAACGAGCGUGAGUCGCAAAUCUAUCACACGGCCAUUUUAAUGUGAACAUCGAUCUGACUUCAUUCAUCCGGCCCCUGGGGGUUAAGUGAGGUGUCAUUUAACAGACGGGAGGUGAUGGCCUGUUCCCUUGGUGGAGGCUAAAUGUGGAACAUCCCGCUGCUGACUGUCUCCUCUUACAAGUGCAGAAACAAACUAAUCUGAUUAGCGCGUUUCCCCCCUUCUCAAUGCGGUACGCAGUCCAGGUGCCGGUGGCUCGAAACUGACGGGUUUUUUUCCCUGACGUUCUUCCAAAGCAGCGCCGCUCGCUACGAACUCAUUCCCUUCUUUUUCUCACAAUUAGUGAUUUAAUACUGCCACGGAGAGACGACAUCUUCCCGCUCGCUCUUCUCGAUGCCGAGGGGAAAAAAAAAACUCUCCGUCUCACGACCUCCCGGGUUUAUCUCGUGUCCCUUGGCAACCGCUGGACUUAAAGCAGUGCAAAGUGCAGUUAAAAGUAGCUCCACCUCCAUCACUAUUAAUGUCAUUUAUCAAAUCGGUUACUUCAAUAGGAUUUUAGAUGCAGGACUUUUUCUUGCAGUGGAGUAAGUGUACAUGAUGGUUGUGGUACUUUUACUGAAGACGAGGAUGUGAGUACUUCUUCCUCACUGUUUAACAAAUAAUAAUUAUGAACCUUCUUUUUGCGCUGUACGUCUUCCUCUCCAGUCCUCUGUACUCUCACCCUCCCUCCCUCUUGUCUACCAAUCAGGUUGAUUGAUUUUAAUGCUUCCUCUUAUCGAGCGGAGCAGCCGUUGUCAAUAAAUGUUGUCCGUCUCUGCUCACACACACACACACACACACACACACACACACCGCAGGGCGAGCGGUAGAACUGUCUUC